ACUUACAUUCACUGCAAGAGAUCCCAAGCAGAGAUGCAUUACAUUUUCUGAUCCCGGACAAAGGACAGAGAUGUUAAAAUACAUUGCUAGAAUGUUCCAGAUCACAGAAACACCACAAAACAGAGAUCACAGCAAAAAAGAUCAUAUUUUGUGCAGGAAAUAGAGACACAGUGAGGGUAACAAUGUGCGCUUCACGGAAAGAAUUCUUGUGCAUCUGAAGAAGCCACAAAUUCUCACCUCUUCGGUACAUAUCUUCAGGUUUUAUUGCAAUAUCCCUUCAACUUGUCCCUGUCCGGACUAGUGGCUACAAUAACACUUUGGCUAGACACUACCAAAAUAUCGGUGGAUUGGCUCCCGAUAAAACCAGGAGGUUCCUCCGUCAAAAGACACCGGCUCUACCACUGAGAUUACAGCUGGUAAAUCUCUGCCCAACUGAUAAGUGCUAUCAGCCACUUGUCCAUGCUUCUUCAACACGCACACAGACACUGAGAUACCCACACUGGAGCACGUCCUAAUCUCGGGCAGUGGAACACACCAAGUUCACGAGAGUAUCGAAAUUUAGUGAUAAGGAGUAUAUAAAAUGAUACACUCUAGCGCUAGUCGGGUAGAUUGACUACAGGAGAGAUCGCCUGGAGAUUUUUGACAUGCGACAAUGACGUCAUCUCUGCAAAUAUCUCCGGAUCGAA